GACGAACCGUGCAAACGUUGUUCGGAAUCACUGGGCUUAAAGGGCGCGUAGGCGGGCGAUCAAGUCAGGGGUGAAAUCCUCCGGCUCAACCGGAGAACUGCCUUUGAUACUGGUCAUCUUGAGUGAGGUAGGGGCGUGCGGAACUGAUGGUGGAGCGGUGAAAUGUGUUGAUAUCAUCAGGAACUCCGGUGGCGAAAGCGGCGCGCUGGACCUUUACUGACGCUGAGGCGCGAAAGCUAGGGGAGCAAACGG
rnacentral:rRNA from 1 species